UGGGGAAUUUUGGACAAUGGGGGAAACCCUGAUCCAGCCAUCCCGCGUGUGCGAUGAAGGCCUUCGGGUUGUAAAGCACUUUUGGCAGGAAAGAAACGUCAUGGGUUAAUACCCCGUGAAACUGACGGUACCUGCAGAAUAAGCACCGGCUAACUACGUGCCAGCAGCCGCGGUAAUACGUAGGGUGCAAGCGUUAAUCGGAAUUACUGGGCGUAAAGCGUGCCCAGGCGGUUCGGAAAGAAAGAUGUGAAAUCCCAGAGCUCAACUUUGGAACUGCAUUUUUAACUACCGGGCUAGAGUGUGUCAGAGGGAGGUGGAAUUCCGCGUGUAGCAGUGAAAUGCGUAGAUAUGCGGAGGAACACCGAUGGCGAAGGCAGCCUCCUGGGAUAACACUGACGCUCAUGCACGAAAGCGUGGGGAGCAAACAGG
rnacentral:rRNA from 1 species